GACGAACGCUGGCGGCGUGCCUAAUACAUGCAAGUAGAACGCUGAAGGAGGAGCUUGCUUCGCUGGAUGAGUUGCGAACGGGUGAGUAACGCGUAGGUAACCUGCCUGGUAGCGGGGGAUAACUAUUGGAAACGAUAGCUAAUACCGCAUAAUAGUAGAUGUUGCAUGACAUUUGCUUAAAAGGUGCAAUUGCAUCACUACCAGAUGGACCUGCGUUGUAUUAGCUAGUUGGUGGGGUAACGGCUCACCAAGGCGACGAUACAUAGCCGACCUGAGAGGGGGAUCGGCCACACUGGUACUGAGACCCGGCCCAGACUCCUACGGGAGGCAGCCGUAGGGGAACUUCGGCAAUGGGCGGAAGUCUGACCGAGCAACGCCGCGUGAGUGGAGAAGGUUUUCGGGUCGUAAAGCUCUGUUGUAAGGGAAGAACGAGUGUGAGAGUGGAACGUUCACACUGUGACGGUAUCUUACCAGAAAGGGACGGCUAACUACGUG
rnacentral:rRNA from 1 species